rnacentral:lncRNA from 1 species
GGCUUAAUUAGACUCAAUAAAAUCCUAAUCAAAUCAAGAAUUAACUAAACCUAACUCCUGAUCAAAUCAGGGACUAAACCACCUUAGCAAUUAGGUCAACAUUUAACCUAAUCGGGUCAAUCCAAACUGAAUCCAAUUCAAUUGGACUUGAUCCAAAAAUAAUUACUCAAUCAAAUUGAGUUAAUUAACAAUCAAAUCACUAAUUAAAUCUCUCAUAAAUAUUGAGUCCAAAUCCGAUGGGCAAUCAAGCAUCAGAGACCAUCGAUAUGAAACCCUGAUCAAAGAGUUCAAAUUUCAAAUUCAAAAUUUAAAAUUCAAAAUUUUGACCCCGGUACCCAAAAUGUGUAGAACUCAUGAUCAGAGAAUCCUAAUUCUCAAUCAUAGAGUUCCAGACACAUAAGACUCAUAAUCAGCCAUCUGAUCAGAAAGGAAUCACUAAUGUGUGUGACCCCGCAGGUUCGAACCUAAGCCGGUAGCACAGGAACCAAUUCCUAUACUAAUCGAAGUGACCAUCUAGCAAUGGUACCCGACGAUCGGAUAGGUCGAAUAAUCACAAUCGCAAUAUUCAGAACCUACGUGAAUAUGGUUACCGU